CAGCCGCCGCGGUAAUACCGGCGGCCCGAGUGGCGGUCACUAUUAUUGGGCUUAAAGCGUCCGUAGCCGGGUUGGGAAGUCCUCCGGGAAAUCUGGCCGCUUAACGGUCAGAAUGCCGGAGGAUACUCCCAGCCUAGGGAGCGGGAGAGGCCGAGGGGAUUCCCGGGGUAGGGGUGAAAUCCUAUAAUCCCGGGAGGACCACCUGUGGCGAAGGCGCUCGGCUGGAACGCGUCCGACGGUGAGGGACGAAGGCCAGGGGAGCAAACCGGAUUAGAUACCCGGGUAGUCCUGGCUGUAAACGAUGCGGACUUUGUGUCGGACAAGCUAUGAGCUUGUCCGGUGCCGGAGGGAAACCGUUAAGUCCGCCGCCUGGGGAGUACGGCCGCAAGGCUGAAACUUAAAGGAAUUGGCGGG
rnacentral:rRNA from 1 species